GAGCAGUCUACCGAGUUAGUUCCGCUGAGUCGAUUCCGAGAUCAGAGCAUAAUGUAGAAUCAGUGCCAAAGAAACAGUUGGGUCCCUCCCUUGGUAUGAAAAAAUCAUCUAGUUUGGAAUCCCUGCAAACCAUGGUUCAUGGAAUUCAGAUGGCUGAAGAUGGUGAGGUUUAUCAUCGAACUGGUCAAGGCUCAGUGCGGGUAAUUCGAGGUCGUGGCUGCAAUGAAAGUUUUCGCGCGGCUGUUGAUCGUAGCUAUGACACGCCUUUUUCGCUUCCCCAUGAACUUCAAAUGGAUAUUCUUGCAGAAGAUGAGAGAGAAUCACAUGCUUCACUGGAAUUCAACAGGAUGAAACAGAACUCUGGUAAAAAGAAAGCAGGUCUUCUCAAAGGAAUAGGAUCAAUGUUCAGGUUUGGGAAGCACAGGAAAUCCAUGGAUUCGUCUGGACCAGCUUCCCAUCUUGGUAUCGGAAGUAGGGAGCCAGGAGGUGCCCUAGAAGAAGAGCGUGAAAACGCUCGGAGGGCUGCCCGCGAAGAACAGAUCAGAAUCCAGGAGCAAUACAAGCGGCUCAUUCAAAAACAAAACGAGCAACAACAACAAGCAAUGCAGACAUCUCCUACUGACAAGUUGAACAGUAGUUAUUCAUCAAGCAAUGGAAAUAACGUGAACAAAAUGGACGGAGGGAUGGAAGCACGUUCGCGCACAGAGAGGAUCCAGCAACUGAGGGAACAGCAUCAACGCCGUCAUAUGGAGCGACAGGGCCACUAUCCUCUCGAUGAACGAGAGGAACAUUACGAUCAAGCAUUACGUCAGCGUUUGGAGCAAGGAAAUGAUUAUGAAGGCGUGAUAAACAACAGACCAGGGAGCAGAUCUGGCAUCGCUGACUGUCGUCAGUUCAGCCAUUAUGUCAACUAUAAAGAAAUCCAACAACAUUUAAAUCGGCGACAGCAACAUUACCACUCGCAAAGGCGGGAGCCCAAAGAGCUGACGCAUCGACCGGUUUCAAACUUUUACGAAUACGAAAGUGUUCAAUCACUCAUGAACUCUGAUAUCAACUCCAACUCUCUCCCACGUCAUCACAUGCCAUCUGGGUCUAUUAGUACUAAACACUACUCUCAUAGUCCAGGAAGGCAGCAUCAACUGUAUAGCAAUUAUUAUGGAAACAAUCAACAAAAAGUACCUCAGAACCAUAUGAUCUACCAGCGGAAGCAGCAUGGACCUUUUGUCACUCAUGUCACGAUUCGAGAACAUUCACCAACGAUCAACGGGCCAAAAAUAUAGCAUUCACGCAUUCGGUAGAGCCUUUGCGAGUAUUUGGUGGAUCUUUGCAGCUUUUGAGAGACUGUUACCUGAGAUUACUAUAAAAUAAGACUGCUUUGUAUUAAGUUUGCAGUAAGUUGAUCGUUUUGCUUACCAGAAUAUCAACUCCGAGGGAUAUUCAACACGAAAAUUAUUCCUCUAGUUUUGUAUCAGAUUUUUUUAUGAUUUAAUGACCGCUGAUUAUAUAUUAGUCCAGAGCUUGCUAAGUUUUAGCUCUCCCUUUGAAUUUUUACUUUAAAAACAUCUUGUUGUUCAAUAAUUUUUUUAAAUUUGGAGUCUCAGAAAGGACUGGUUCCAUGCUAGUCUUUUUUGAGAUACGUAAUUCCAUAGAUUUAUCAGAAAGCAUGCAUUCAUGGUGAUUUUUUUCUUCAUAAAUGUUUUAAAAAAUUUUCACUACAACAAUCGUCAUCUAUAUCAAGCAAGCAGUGUUGAAGAAUUUGCGAAAAUUUGAAAAUGAGAAUACAGUUAGAAAUGAUUGUGCUACAAAGCAUCUUUUAUAAAAUGUAGUGCAGUGUGGUGCUAAGAACCUCAGGGUUAUCUUGUCAAUAAAAAUAAAGCUUUGCAGCAUAAUGGUUUGUAACCUUAUUCUUAAUAGCUUGUCCAAAAAAUAUUGCAUAAUAGAUUCGAUUUCGGGAGAAAGAAUUGCAAUCCCCUCCUAUUGUAACGUUGCUCUCAAACGUUGUCUUAUGGGUUGUUUUGCCAAAGAGCUUCCCUGUUAUUAUUUUUUAUUUAUUUUUUUUUUUCAAUAAUACUGACUCUGUUCAAACAAAUUUUAACCUCUACAUAGACUUCAUAUCCAAAUUUUCCUUCCUUUUUUGUACAUAUAGUUGAUAACAUACCUGAAAAUAUUCACUUUAUUUUCACCAUCUGUGUCUUUGAGUAUAUUGAAUGUAUGUUUUUUUGAUACUUUAAAAUCCAAGAGAAAAUUAAAAUGUUUUAACUCUUGCUUCAUUGAAAUUAAUGCUCAAGGAAAGCUUAUUUCCUACCUUAAUUUAUAGAAAAUUCUUGGCAAGCUGGUAGGGAAAAUUUGUCCCGUCUAAAAAUUGAAAAUGGAAUUUUGAAACAGUUCCCUUUUUGGUGUGCACUUUCCCUACUUGCCUCGCCACAUAAUUGAAUGGAUCAUCCAAUUUUAUUAUCUUUGAUACACCUUUUUUUCUCUUUCUUUCAUUAUUAUUUGAUCCCAGUUUCAGAUUUUAUUGUAUUAAAUUUCAAUGCUCUGUACUUUUCUAUGAAAUCCUUUCAAUUGUGUUUGGUAAAUUUGUUUGUAACUUUCGUUUGUAAGUUAAAUCCUUCAAAUUUUACCUCCACGAAUCUAAUGCUCUUUGUUGGUUAAGUUUUGAAAGAUUUUGAAUAUGGCUAAUAUACUAUUUUUCAAUCCAUCGUCAGGAAAUUUGAAACUGAACAGGACCCAUUAAUUUUUGUAAAUAAUUCAAAAGACGUAUCAUGUAAUUAUUUUGUGAUGAAAAUUAUUGCAAGGAAAAAUGAGCUGGUCAAAAUCACUUGGUCUAUAUAUCAUCAUUGGGAUAGGUCCUAUUUUACAACUGUUUUUGACAAUGCUACAGAUGAGAAGGCCUUAAUCGCCUAAUAGAAUGAUCAAAGCUAAAAUUAUUUACAAAAUUUUAUCUUCUAAACUUUGAUGCAAUAUCUGUUCCCCAAUCAUGUCUCUAAGAAGAAUUUGUAAUUGGUCAACAAGUUUAGUCAUGCUAAUUUCUGAUUAG
rnacentral:lncRNA from 1 species